rnacentral:rRNA from 1 species
GACGAACGCUGGCGGCGUGCCUAAUACAUGCAAGUCGAGCGCAGGAAAUCGACGGAACCCUUCGGGGGGAAGUCGACGGAAUGAGCGGCGGACGGGUGAGUAACACGUAAAGAACCUGCCCUCAGGUCUGGGAUAACCACGAGAAAUCGGGGCUAAUACCGGAUGGGUCAUCGGACCGCAUGGUCCCAGGAUGAAAGGCGCUCCGGCGCCGCCUGGGGAUGGCUUUGCGGUGCAUUAGCUAGUUGGUGGGGUAAUGGCCCACCAAGGCGACGAUGCAUAGCCGACCUGAGAGGGUGAUAGGCCACACUGGGCUGGAGACACGGCCCAGACUCCUGAGGGAAGCAGCAGUAGGUAAUCUUCCACAAGGGACGAAAGUCUGAUGGAGCAACGCCGCGGGAACGAUGAAGGCCUUCGGGUCGUAAAGUUCUGUUGUAAGGGAAGAACAAGUGCCGCAGGCAAUGGCGGCACCUUGACGGUACCUUGCGAGAAAGCCACGGCUAACUACGUGCCAGCCGCCGCCGUAACAC